CUAUGCGCCUUGCCAGCCGCUCAGGUGUGCCAGCCGCGCGGUAAUACGGAGGAUGCGGGCGUUAUCCGGAUUUAUGGGUUUAAAGGGUGCGUAGGCGGUCCGUUAAGUCAGCGGUAAAAUUGCGGGGCUCAACCCCGUCGAGCCGUUGAAACUGUCAGACUUGAGUUGGCGAGAAGUACGCGGAAUGCGCGGUGUAGCGGUGAAAUGCAUAGAUAUCGCGCAGAACUCCGAUUGCGAAGGCAGCGUACCGGCGCCACACUGACGCUGAGGCACGAAAGCGUGGGGAUCGAACAGG
rnacentral:rRNA from 1 species